rnacentral:rRNA from 1 species
AGCUCCAGUAGCAUAUAUUAAAGUUGUUGCAGUUAAAAAGCUCGUAGUUGAAUUCAAAAUGUACUGGUUUUGUUCGUGUUCGCACGUAACUUAGCUGGUACUUUUUAUGGUUGGAUUUGCUUUAGAUGCACUUUAUUGAGUGUCUAUUGCAGCCAACGAGUUUACUUUGAAAAAAUUAGAGUGCUCAAAACAGGUUUACGCCUGAAUACUGUUGCAUGGAAUAAUGAAAUAGGACUUCGGUUCUAUUUUGUUGGUUUUCGGAACAGAAGUAAUGAUUAAAAGGGACAGAUGGGGCCAUUGCUAUGCACGGGGGAGAGGUGAAAUUCGUAGAUCCUGUGCAGAGCACCAACUGCGAAAGCAUUUGGCAAAAAUGUUUUCA